UUGUCACGGAAUGAGUCAGGUUGGAAGGGACCGCAGGGGAUCAUCUGGUCCAAUUUCCCUGCUCAAGCAGGGUCACCCCAGAGCAAAUGGCACAGGAUUGCAAACAGGUUGUUCUUGAAUAUCGCCACUUAGGGAGACUCAACAACCUCUCUGGGGAACCUGCUCAGUGCUCGGUCACUGCACAGUAAAUGAGCUAUUCCUCAUGUAUAGGUGGAGCUUCCUUUGCAUCCGUUUCUGCCUAUUGACUCUUGUGCUAGUGCUCUUGACACCCUUCCUUCAGAUACUCACAGACAUUGAUAAGAUCUCCUCUCAGUUCUUCUCGAAGCUGAACAGGCCCGACUUCCUCAACCUAAGAGAGGUACUCCAAUCCCUUAAUCAUCUUUUUGCUCUCCACUGAACCCAUCAGUUUGUCCAAGGCAUUUAAAUGUGGCAUAUCCAUAACAGUUUUUUUGAGUGUUUUUCUCUUCCCCAGGCUAGGCAAAUAUAGAAAUUACUGCAUGUCUUGAGCUGUUCAAAAAUGGCUAAGCUAUUACUGGCAUAAUGACUAAAACAAACUGAACUGAAUUUAUCUCUGCAAAGAGCUUGACUCCCAGGGCGUUUUCUGGCUUGGGUGUCAGCUGAAUUGCAUGGAAAUAACUGGGCCAUGUUUGCCCUGAGUGGCUGUGCUGAGGACCCCUGCCGUCACAAGGUUUUUUAAGGAAACUUCCAUGUCUGACCAUUCACAAGGCUCCCUAGCUACCUGACAGUCGCACUCCCGAUGCCAAAGACUUUCACUGCUAGGACCGAAGGCCCUUGACAGGCCGAAGGCCCUUCACUGAAGUGAGCUGCUGGACUUCCUGCACACCUUCUAAAUAAAAGAAUACUGCCUAGCACUUCUGAUGUUCCCUUUCACUAUGGGAUUUAUAAGCCGGCUUACCACAACCUGCCACACCAACAAUGCCUUGCAUCCACCCAAUAUGCAGAAUAAAAUAAUUUGUUAAGAAGUA